AAGCAGAUGGCCUCCGCCCCCACCCCCGGGAGGAUUUCUUAAUGGGGUGCCAAUGCCAGUCCCCGAAGCCAGGGUUCCCGGACCCUCGGGGCUGAGCUGGGCGCUGGAACCCCGCAGGGGCGGAGAGGCCGGCCGAGCCUGAAGAAGUAGAGGAGAGAUCUACACAACUUCAGUGGGGUGUCCCCGUCCCGUCUUCCUGUUCGCCCUCUUUUGCCCCCAACUCCAUCUCUGAGACAUCCUAUCCUCCCCCCCCAAAAAAGAAGUCACUCCGGGGCUCUGUCUGCAGAGAGCCAGGGUGAGAGCGGGCAAGGCGAGAGAGCGACCUCGGUCGUGGGCAAGUAGCUUGUUUUUACGUCCUUCAAUAAAAUUUUUAUGAGGAUCAUUUGAUUGUUCAUAAAUGUGUCUUUCAUUAAAUAAAAUUGUAGGCUGUUUUUGGAACGAAAAAAAGCUAUGAAGGAAUGGGAGAAAGCAAUUUCUUUGGAGUCAGACACAGGAAUUCUGGAGGGGGCAGUGUGAUGGUAAGGAAGAUCACACAACUUGGAUUCCUACCCCCCUCAGUAAGUUGGUUGCUACCCUCCUCCUUGAAUUUGGGGUUCGUUGCCCAGUCCUCUGCUUUCCAUCAGACUGUCCCAUGGUGGUUUAGCAAAGGUGGGCAAAGGCAAGCAGGAAAUUCUCAGUGUGGGUGCAAGAGAGGGGCAGGGAAGUUGGUGGGGGUGGGGGAGAAGAGCAGGUGAUAUCCCCAGAGACACAGGCGUCCUAGGCAGGGCAGAGUGAAUUUGAAGGAGGGGUGCAAUUUCAGGGUCAGCAGGGAAUAGUCCAGUUUGCGCCAAGAGAAACAGGCAGGAGCUGAGGCUAAGACACAGGCUCUGAGGCAGCAGGGAAGGACAAGGUUUCUCAGACUGGAGAUGCCUGCUCUUCUCUCCCAUUCCUGUCCUCAGGAGGGGACCAAACACCAGGGAUGGGGGGGUGGAGGCUGCUUUUUUCCUGCAUCUCUGUCAACCUGUCUCCUCUAGGGAGGAGAAGGGCUAGAGAGAGGUGUUCCAGAGACUGUAGUGUGUGUGUUUGGGAAGGGGGGGGGUAAGGAAAGUUGAGGGGGAAGGGUCUGUCUGCAGCCUGCAGCACCGACCCCAGCCUGCCAGGCCCCCACCCCAGUCCCUGCUCCUCCCCUUCUCGGGUUCUCUCCUUUUCGGUCUAGCGGGGCUGGGAUUUCGACGCAUGGGGGGGACGUGAGAAGUACCCGGCUGGGGAGAGGCGACCCGGGGCCUCAGCCCCUUCACCCUUAUCUCUGAUUAUCUUCUCCUCCCCCCGACUGGACUGGUUUUGGAAAAGCCAAAUUACAGCAAGAAACAGAAUAUCUCUUUGGCCUUGAUGGAGUUGGGUUAGCUGUCAAUCAAAAAUUCUCCCUCACUAGUUCAAGGAAAAGACUGGAGGUUACCGUCCCCCUGCCUAGGCUUCCUCCAAAUCCCCAGCGCCAUCAGCACCUCCCCCCAGCCCUGGCGGCGGGGGACCCUGCCUGGUUCUUGGGUGGCUGCUGGCAAUGCUGAGCAGAGCCGCGGAGCGUUCAGAGGGCCCGGGGCCAGACUGUGACCAAGAGGACAUCAGGGGACAGAGCCUGAGAGAGACUGAGCCCGAGACAGCCUGAGACAGCAAGACUGAAGCACGGCGCCAGGUCCCCAGAGAGGAAGGGAGGAAGGAAGGAGGGAAGGAAAGAAGAAAACGGAUUAGAAUAAAAGAAAGGGAAGACAGACAGAAAAGAGGGGAGGCAGGAUGAAAAGAGAGGGAAGAGCAGGGAAAGGAAGGCAUGCAGAGAGAGUCGGAGGAAGGGCAGCGACAGGCAGGCAGGACGGGGCAGGGCGCGGGCUGGCCGAGCAGCCGUGGCAUUGUGCAGCCCGCUGGCUGGCCAGGCCUUUGCCGCGGGACCGGCUCUGGGCGCGGCGGCCACUUCUGUCCGGACACAAAGGAGGAAGAGGCCUCCUCUCCUGCCCCUCCCGGGCGACCUGCUGGGGUGGGGACACCAGGCCUCUAGGAUAUAGAACCCUAUCUCGGCCCAGGCAGCUACCCAGGCAGCUGGGAGCUGAGCCACGCUCUCAUCAAGGAGCAAAGAAGACAGGACGAAGGAGGUUUCAAGCCCGCCGGCUCCUCCUUUUCGUCUUCGCCAGGGGACAGGGCCCAUCUGCCCCUACCUCAGUCUUCCUAGAAGGAAGCUGCCCCCACAGCCCCUCUCCUAUGGGCUUCUACUAUUUGGGAAAGCCCCCCAGACACAGUGGCUGUAAACAGAUGCCCCUUUCUCUCCUACCCAGCUUGGCCACCACCUUCUUUUCAACUCUUGAGCAGCCUGCCCACCCUGCCUGCCCACCCAGCAGAGGCAGCAGCAGUGGGGCAGCCAGGAUCACCAGGCCCACGCUCUCUGCUGCCACCAAAUUCCCUGUGAAACUGAGGGGAGGUUGUCGCCUUCAUUUCAGAGCAUGAACUCAGGCCCUCCCACUCAGACAUAGACACAACUGUGGAUCUGGAAGCAGGCCUCACCCACAGCCCCCUCCCCACCAAUGCCCCAUUUUGCCUGGGCCUUGCUAAGAGAGGCAGCCUGGGGGAGGGGGGCUGGAAGAGGCUGAGAAUCCCUGAGUUCACCAGGCCACCAGGCCGAGGUCCCUCGGGUUCCACAACUACAUGUGGACGGUACCCCCAUCCUCUGCAUUUGGAGGUGGGGUGGCAGGUCAGGGCUCUGAAGCAGACCCUAGGGCUCUCCCCAAAUCCAGACCUGGAGGUGUCAGGGCACCAAGGAUGUGGGAGCACCAAGAAGGAGGGGCUUGUCUUCCCAGGUUCAGUUAUGCCUGCUGAAUCUCCUGCCAGGUUCCCAGACUCCCUCUCACCCCCACCACUCCCUUCAAUUUUCCUCAUCACCGAUGGGGAGCCCGAGGUACUGGAGGCCACUGGGAGUCCCUGUUGGGAGAUGGGAGGACUCCAGCUUUAGCUAGCAGCUGUGCAUUCACUGUGGUUCUUAGAGCUCUCUUCUGACCCCAAAAGACAGCACUGGGCAGAGGAGAGCCCCCUCAGGGGGAGGAGCACCCUGACUACAUCACCUCAGACCUGGACAGCUGGGAUCACAAUCAAGCUAGCACCACCGUGGGCAGGACAGACAGACAGAAAGACAGGUUAGACUGAUCCCCUCCCCUGGCCCUGCACCUCCCUUUUAGUGAUUUAAAUUCCCUCCGGUUCAAUCCACACCGUCAAGUUCGGAUUAUAUUUAAAACAGGCUUUCCCCGGUCCGCCAGCAGGUCAUUCCCGCAGCCGCAGGCAGGGCGCCCGCUCCCGGCUCGGCAGCACCCGCCUGCGCGGAGGAGGCCCUGCGUGCUCCAUUUGCUUUCGUUUUCCUUCUCCCCCUGAAAUGGGCUCAGUUCACCUCUCCGCUGCCCUCUCCUCCUCCCCGCCCCCUCCUUGGUUCCCCACUCCUUUCCCCCCUUUUCUCUCCUGAUCCCUCUUUGUUGGGAAAAACACACCCACACACACAACUCCUCCUAGCUCAGGCCUGCGCUGGAAGCAGAAACUGAAUUCUCCUGGCCCGCCGCGAGGAGACCAGCGUCCUGCCCCCACCCCAGCCUUUUGCUGGACAGCCUAGGGUUUAGGACGUCUCAGACGGACAGACAGACAGACAGACAGGCAAACCGCAUCUCCGGAGGCAGACAGACUCACAACAUGAGUGGCGUCCGGCAGAGACCCGGAAGACUCGGUCCCUCUGGCUUGGUCCAAUCCCGCCUCGGGAAGCGCCUUCGUUACCUGCUCCUCGGCUCCCCACGGCCACAGAUGCAGGGCAGCCGCCUCCGCCGGGGGAGGGAAGCC